AACGACUCUCGGCAACGGAUAUCUAGGCUCUCGCAUCGAUGAAGAACGUAGCAAACUGCGAUACUUGGUGUGAAUUGCAGAAUCCCGUGAACCAUCGAGUCUUUGAACGCAAGUUGCGCCUGAAGCCGUUAGGCGGAGGGCACGUCUGCCUGGGUGUCACGCACAGCGUCGCCCCCCCCAAGGGCCUCGC
rnacentral:rRNA from 1 species